UUCCUGGUGGCUGGGUUUGACAGAUGAGCAGAUUGAAGGCACAUGGAAAUGGUUAGAUAACGGACAAAUAGCCAACUUUACAGACUGGCAUCCAGUAGAGCCUAGUGGCGGGAAGGCCGAGGAUUGUGCCGUCUUUUACACGGCGUUUGACUUUACAUGGGCAGACCUAACUUGCAUUUCCAACAAUUACCCAAUCUGUGAACUUCGGGGAGUGAGCACCGAGACGGAAAUAGUGGGAUGAAAAAAAAACUUUUAUUUUGAAAAACAAUUUCGUUUUAGUAAUGAAUAACAAUUGUUAUGUAAAUAAAAUAAAAGAAAUAAA